GGGCCCGCACAAGCGGUGGAGCAUGUGGUUUAAUUCGAUGAUACGCGAGGAACCUUACCAGGGCUUAAAUGCAGAACGACAGGGGUGGAAACACCCUCUUCUUCGGACGGUCUGCAAGGUGCUGCAUGGUUGUCGUCAGCUCGUGCUGUGAAGUGUCGGGUUAAGUCCCAUAACGAGCGCAACCCCUAUUUCUAGUUGCCAGCGGUUCGGCCGGGGACUCUAGAAAAACUGCCAGCGUAAGCUGUGAGGAAGGUGGGGAUGACGUCAAAUCAUCACGGCCCUUACGUCCUGGGCUACACACGUGCUACAAUGGUAGGGACAGAGAGUUGCCAACCCGCGAGGGUGAGCUAAUCUUCAAACCCUAUCUCAGUUCGGAUCGGAGUCUGCAACUCGACUCCGUGAAGUUGGAAUCGCUAGUAA
rnacentral:rRNA from 1 species